rnacentral:rRNA from 1 species
AUUGAACGCUGGCGGCAUGCUUUACACAUGCAAGUCGAACGGCAGCGCGGGCUUCGGCCUGGCGGCGAGUGGCGAACGGGUGGGUAAUGCAUCGGAACGUGCCCAGUAGUGGGGGAUAGCCCGGCGAAAGCCGGAUUAAUACCGCAUACGACCUGAGGGUGAAAGCGGGGGACCGAAAGGCCGCGCGCUAUUGGAGCGGCCGAUGUCGGGUUAGCUAGUUGGUGGGGUAAAGGCUUACCAAGGCGACGAUCCGUAGCUGGUCUGAGAGGACGACCAGCCACACUGGGACUGAGACACGGCCCAGACUCCUACGGGAGGCAGCAGUGGGGAAUUUUGGACAAUGGGGGCAACCCUGAUCCAGCCAUGCCGCGUGCGGGAAGAAGGCCUUCGGGUUGUAAACCGCUUUUGUUCGGGAAGAAAUCCUCUGGGCUAAUACCCCGGGGGGAUGACGGUACCGGAAGAAUAAGCACUGGCUAACUACGUG